UACAGAGGUCUCAAGCGUUGUUCGGAUUCAUUGGGCGUAAAGGGUGCGUAGGCGGCGCCGUAAGUCGGGUGUGAAAUUUCGGAGCUUAACUCCGAAACUGCAUUCGAUACUGCGGUGCUUGAGGACUGGAGAGGAGACUGGAAUUCAUGGUGUAGCAGUGAAAUGCGUAGAUAUCGAGAGGAACACCAGUGGCGAAGGCGAGUCCCUGGACAACACCUGACACUGAGGCACGAAAGCUAGGGGAGCAAACGGG
rnacentral:rRNA from 1 species